rnacentral:rRNA from 1 species
AUUGAACGCUGGCGGCAUGGCUAAAACAUGCAAGUCGAGCGCGAAAGAGGAGCAAUCCUCAAGUAGAGCGGCGAAAGGGUGAGUAAUACGUUCCUACGUACCUCGAGGUCAGGGAUAGCCAGGGGAAACUCUGGGUAAUACCUGAUGUGGUCGAGAGAUCAAAGGCUUGCCGCCUUGAGAGCGGGGAACGUCCUAUCAGCUAGUUGGUGAGGUAACGGCUCACCAAGGCUAUGACGGGUAGCGGGUGUGAGAGCAUGGCCCGCCACAUCGGAACUGAGACACUGUCCGGGCUCCUACGGGAGGCUGCAGUAACGAAUCUUCCGCAAUGCGCGCAAGCGUGACGGAGCAAUGCCGCGUGCAGGAUGAAGCCCUUGGGGUGUAAACUGCUGUCAGGGUUUAGAAACACAAUGAUCAAACCCAAAGGAAGAGACGACUAACUCUGUGCCAGCAGUCGCGGUAAUACAGAGCCUCGAGCGUU